UGGAAAGAAGAUUUGGAAAAUAAAGUGACUGUGAACAUAUAUAAAACGUGGAAAAGAGAAAUAAAAGAUGAAGAAAUUUAUGACAAUUCUACUGGUUCAGUACUUCUCUUCAAAGCCAGAACCAACUCUCUUAAUUUAAAUAUAGCAAAAAGGCACCAGAAUGAGAACACCUGUUGCCCUUUUUGCCACAAUACAGUAGAAGACAUAUAUCAUUUCCUUUUAUAUUGUGGUACUUAUAGAGAAGAACGUGUUAAAGCAAUAGGGCUACAACAACCCUAUGAAGAAAAGGAAAGUGACGUAGUUGGAAAAUUUCUAUUUUCAGGUAACAACGAAAUAAGAAAAGAAACCAUAUACUUGAUGUGGAAAAAAAGAGAGAGAAAAGGAAAGAGCUAAACAAAUAAACAAAAAAUACCCAAGAUUAAGAGGCGCCGUUGCAAAGACAUUCCCUCGACCCAUAACUACUACUACUAGUACUACUACUACCUACCUACAUUGAAAAUCAAACGCUUGUUAUCAUGCAGUUACUGACACAAGAGAAGCUUAUACUCUGGCACCUCAACUUGAUGGACUUCAACAUAUUGAAUUUUGUUACCUCUGGGAUAUGUUUGAGUCCGGGAUGAUAAGAAUCAUAUUUCAUGCUUAGUGGAAUAAUCCCAUAAUUGUGCAAAGCUUAAUGAUUUCCACAAUGACUGAUCCAUCAUACCCUGCACUUAACUGUUCUCCCAGUUGUAUGAACAUUUAGUUUGUGUUUAUAUGCCUCGUAAAAAGCCUGCACUUCAUGUAAAAAUGUUAACUUUUAUGUAUAACGUAAUUGGUGGCAUAGAAGCCUGGCUCAAUUAGUCUAACUCAGUUGUCUUUUUGGUGAACCUUUUUAAUACUUUUCUUUAACAAUUAUUUGUGACUGAGUCUUCCUUAAGCUUGAAUAUGCAAGGCACUGUAUUUGCUAAUUGGAUAUUAACUUCAUCUUAAUUUGGAAUAAAAUAAUGAUGCACAGUACAAGAGAGAAAGAGGGAAUAAAUAGACCGACAGACAUUUAUGCAGGUGCUUAAUGAAAUGAUAUUUAAUAUACAGUUGAACUUGGAACAUUUACAUGUAAAGUUAAUUAUUUUCGUUAUGGUAUUAGUGACAGCAUAUCUGUGCUGUCAGUAUUCCUGUAGUGAGUAUCAUUAAAUUUUUUAUUUAAAUGUUUUAUGUUCAUCAUUGGAUCCAUGUAAAUUGGAGGUUUUGUAAGCACUUUUUUUGUUUACUCCCUCAUUCUUGCUUGUGCUCUGUAUCUUUACAUUAUUUUACUCCAAGUAUUGGUAAAGUUAACCCCCAGCCCGGGGAUCAUAUACGAUCACAUAUAGCUUUGGGGUAGUGGACAGGUAUAUUGUAGAUAUACGAUCAAGAUUUGGUGCCAUACAGUUUGAACGAAUUUUGUGGGAAAUAUGUUUCUAGUUCCAUAUUUUACUUGGCAACUCUUCAGAUCACCCUAUAAGAGUGUGAGUGAGCUGAGGAGCCUUCAGUCUUGCUUGAAGUGGUAUAGGGGAAUGUGGUCACAAAUUCCCAUCCAAGGAUGCAUCGUGAAUAUUUUACAAUAAAUAUGCUAAGAAAGCUGAUAACUUUGUCAAAAAUAGGGAAAAGAGGCCUACAAGGGGUGGGAAAUAUUCACUUACAACUUCCCAUGGAAGAUACAAAAAUUUUGUUAACAUUUUUUAUCCUAUACCAUGAGAAUAUACAUAUAUUCAUCUUUCCAUUGAUGAGUUUUUUUUUUUUUUUUUUUUUUUUUUUUUUUUUUUUUUUAUUUUAAAUUGGCAUCCUUAAAUUUAGCCUGUUCAUGUUUGUAUGCAUCAGCGUUUAUUAGCCUGGACUGUGGGGAUAAUAUCCUGUGAUAAAAUGUAAUUAAUGUAAUUGUGUAUAUGUAUCAGUAAAUAUAGAGCAUUUCAUAAUUAUAUACUACUAAGUUCAAGUAACUUUCAAUAUGUGUUGGACAGUUAUGGUUAUCAUAAAUUUUUGCAUGAAAUCAUUACAUGCGGGACAAGCAGUACUUUUGACACAAAGUAUAAAUUUUUAUCCGUAUCUUUUUUUCUUUUUUUGCAUUUGUUACUUAAUAUAUAUAACUGCUAACAAGACUCCUUAAACCUUGCAAUGAAAUAAUCCUACAUAAGAAGAGAGGGAGGAAGGAAUUAGGUAGAUUUUUAUGAGAUUAAUUCACCUGCUUUGUGGUACUGUAUAGUCUAUACUACUGAGUCAUAGGCUUAUAUUAUUGGGACGUUAGACCCCAUCACUGUCCAUUCAGUUUAGGUGUCAGUUUAUGCUAAAUCAAGGAAAAAGGAAGGCUUCCUCUUGAGUGUCAGAGCCAAGGAAAACAUGUCCAUGCACUCACUGGACAAAGAAGGUGGGAACAAACUUGGAUUAGUGGAAACAGGUUGUCAUGACAGUGUAUUACAGAACAACAAAGAUGAACUUUGGAUUUUUGCCAUAACUCCAUUCUUGACUGGUGUAGAUGAACUUUUAUACUUAGAGCAGAUCAGCUGAUCAUCAGUAGAGGAAAACCAUCACUGUUAAGGAUGUUUCAUCGAAAUAGAGAUUGAGCAAAGACAAUUACCUGGUGAGUAUGAGAAUGAGGCCGACCUGAGAUGUAUCUGCUGUUGCAGGGAGCAACGGGACCAACGGCUUUGCAUGACCUCCGAAUCACGUCGAGAGUGAACUUCUAUCACCAGAAAUACACAUCUCUCACUCCUCAAUGGAAUGGCCGAGAAUCGAACCCGCGACCACCGAGGAUAAGAUGAAGGGGUUUCUGCUGUCUUUUACGUAGUCUUCGUUUUAUGUAUUUAAGAUAAAGAUUGGAAGAAACCCCAGGUGGCUCAUAAUAAUUGGCCUUGUUUGAGCUUCAUACCUUAACUUCCAGGUUGAUCCUGAAGGUACAACCCAGAGAGAGAGUAAGAAACUCUGGUGAUAAGUGGUGAUACAACCCAGAGAGAGCGCAAGGAACUCUGGUGAUAUCAAGUUUGUAAUACAACCGGGGGAGAGCGAGGAAUUCUGGUGAUGGUACAACCUGGGGCGAGAGAGGAAAUCUGGUGAUGGUACAGCCGAGAGAGAGCGAGGAAUUCUGGUGAUAUCAAGUGAAUGACGAGAGCAAAAGGAUCUCCUGUAACCUUCAAGAUCUCUAAAUAAGAGGCUGGUAACGUAGGGCAGUAAAACAAAAAAAACUUAUCUGGAUGUCUCAAUUUAUACACAAAUAUAAAUUUAUUCCUUUUUUAUAACAAUUUUUUUUUUUUUUUGGCAGGCUAGGGUUGAGUUUGGGAUUUGGAAUGGACCCCUAUUUUUAUGCUCCUAGAUUUGUAUAAAUAAAUGAUUUAACUUUCA